GCUGAUAAUGUUGUGAGCAAAGGAAUUGAUGAACUUAAUGUAAAGUACAUCCUUCCAAUAUUGGACUUAGUGAUCAUCCAACAGCCUUCCAAUAGUUUAUUUAGUUCUGUGGGUGAUGUACCCAACAGUGGAACUGUUGGUGUGGAAAUUGCUGUCAACAAAUGUGUACAAAACGAUAGUGCAGAAAACAACAAAAUACCAACAGUAAAUUCAUUAACUGGUUUGCAGACUGUCCUAACUAUCACAGAUACGAAUACAAAUAUUGGGCAUAAUCAUUUAGCAAAAGAUUUUGAUAUUUGUCACGAAUUCCCUCUCAAUUAUAAAACCCAUCCAGCUGCUGAAAGUAUCAAAGCUACAGAAAGCCACCGAUCUGAAGAAAGAUGUCUAGUGUUGUCACAAGAUGGAGUAACUGAACAACAGUCUGUUACUAAUUUGGACAAUGACAGAGACAAGCCAUUGGAACAUUUAUUCGACAAUAGUGAAAUGGAAAUAAAUGAGAAUUUUCAGAAAGACAAGCCUGAAAUCGACAAUGUUGUUUCACCAGUUAGCCAUCACCACUCUGCUACAAGCAUUACUGAUAUAACAAAUAAUACUUUACAGCACGGUACAAGAGUAACUGACAUCUACCAUCAUAAGAGACCAUAUAACAGAUUCAAAUUAAACCUUUUUCAAAGAACAAAGAGUGUUUCCUCAUUACCUGAAAUGACGGGGCAAUGGCAAACUGAUAAUACCUCACUCUUCAGCAACCAAGAAAAACUGAAGACUCUCCCUCCAAUCAGACAUAACAGCAAUCUGUUGCUGAGUGAUGAAAAUAUAGAAAAAUACCAAGCAAUUUCAUCAAGGGAUGAAGUGAGUGAACAGUAUACCCUUACAAAUACAGCACAUGACAGCAAGGACACAUCCCAGAAAUGCCCAGCAAAUAUUGAUGACAGAAGGUCUAGUAAUGAUUGUGAUCCAUCAGAUGGAUGUGAGAUUAACUGUACACCAGUAGGUGAUGUACUCAUCAAUGGAGCUGUUGGUGCAGAAAUUGCAGUCAACAAAUGUGUACAAAAUGAUACUGCAGAAACCAACAAAAUAACAGUAGAUUCACUAACUGACUUACAGACUAUCCAAACUAUCAACGUUAUAUAUAGAAAACCUGGACAUGAUUAUUUCGCAAAAGAUUUUGAUAUCUGUCCUGAAUUUCCACUCAAUUAUAGCAUCAGUCAGGCUGUAGAAUGUGUCAAUACUACAGAAGGCCACCGAUCUGAAGAAAUAUGUCCGGUUUUGUCUCAAAAUGGAGUAACUGAACAACAGUCUGUUACUAAUUUGGACAGGCCAUUGGAACAUUUAUUGAACAGUACUGAAAUGGAAAUAAAUGAGAAUUUUCAGAAAGACGAGCCUAAAAUCAACAAUGUUGUUUCACCAGUUAUACUUCACCACUCUGCUGCAAGUGUUAUUGAUAUCACAAAGAAUACUUCACAGCACGGUACAACAAAGGUAACAGACAUCUACCAUCGUAGGAGACCAUCAAACAGAUUCAAAUUAGACUUUUUACAGAGAGCAAAGAGUGUUCCUUCAUCACCUGAAAUGACCGAGCAAUGGCAAAGUGAUAAUAUCUUAUUCUUUAGCUACCAAGAAAAACUGAAGUCUCCCCCUCAGCUCAGCCAUAACAUUAAUCUGUUGCAGAGCGAUGGAAAUGUAGAAAAAUGGCAAGCAGUUUCGUCAAAGGAUGAAGUGAAUGAACAGUAUACCCUUACAAAUACUGCACAUGACAGCAAGGACACAUCCCAGAAAUGCCCUGUUGACGGUAUAACUGUCAACAGAUGGUCUAGUAAUGAUUGUGAUCCACCAGAUGGAUGUGAGAUUAAGCGUACACCUUCACCACUGAAUCCAGAUCCAGGACAGUUGCUUCAUGUAGACACUUCACUCAAUAAUCAACACAUGCCAACAGGUCAAGUCUUAAACACUGCUGAUGAUGCUGGAUUCUCGAAACGUCCUGACAAUCAAAAAAUUAAAAGAGCAGAUUUAUCAGGAACUCUGGAAAUAUCUCCUACAAGUACAGCACAUAGCAACAAGAACAAAUCAUUGUAUCAGUCAUCCAAUAUUGCUGACACUGUUUUGAGCAAAAGAAUUGAUGAAUUUAAUGCAACCCACAUUCUUCCAAUGCUGCGUCCAGUGAUCAGCCAAAAGCCUUCCAAUAGUUCAUUUAAGAUGCUAAGUGAUUUGCUCAACAAUGGAACUGUUGGUGCAAAAAUUGAGACAGCCAAAAUAUCAACAGUAGAUUCACUAACUGGCUUUCAGACUGUCCUAACUAUGACAGAUAUACACGAAAAUCUUGGGCAAGAUUAUUUAACAAGAGAUUUUGAUAUCUUUCAUGAUGAACUAACCAAUGAGAAGUCAAAUAUUAAACGUUUACAUAAAACAAAUGAUGCACUACCAUCACCUAAGGCUCAGUACAUUACCACUAAUAUAAGCAAGAAUCAAGACAAGCAAGCAUGUCAUUCCGCAUGGAGUGAUGGCAUUCUAAUGGGCAGAUCGAACAAAUCAAAUGCCAAAGAUUGUUAUUUAUUGCCGACUAGCCAACAGGCUCCAUCUGGUAUAAUUAAAAAUAAGCAAUCUUUGAUUCAUUCGGCAUUGAGAAGCGACUUUGAAAUGAACGUAGCAGAUGUCAAGAAUGUAACAAAUGGUCAAUUGCAAAACAGAGACGCCUUAUUGCAGUCACCAACUGGGCUAAAGUAUUCUUCAGACACUACAUGUCGCAACAAUAUUCAAUUUCAGAAUUCCUCUCCAAAGAAGGAUAUGUGUUCGAGGAAAAGCAUUGGCAUUAAAUCAACAAAUGACACUAACCUUGCAUUACCAGAUCUUCUGACUGAGCAAGAAUCUCCCGAUGAUCUCACUUACAACAAGAGCAAUAAAUAUUUGAAUGAGCCAAUGGAAGAUAGAGAUGCCACUUUGGAUCGAAGGUGGAAGGAUAUUUGUGCAAAAACAGAGAAGUAUUUAAUCAGUAGCGGUUCUACACCACCUGAUUCACCACCUGGUCAGUCUCCACAAAAUAAAUACAUCCGCAAGAAUUAUUCAACAGAUAGUUGUGACAUUUCUCCACAGGACAUUGACGUGGUAAAAGAAAAUAAAAAAGUAUUCAGAUACAGGCGAAAAUCAUUCCCGGGACGAAUGUUGGAGUAUGGGAGAUCAGGAACAUGCACAACUAAUAUACAUACAUUUAACUCCUUACAGCACUGUUAUCUAAAAAAACAAAUUGGUUCAGAAUUCAUAGAGAUUAAUGACUUACAUAACAGAUUAAAUACCAAUAGUGAUUUCUCUCAACACAGGGUAAAUUCAAUUAGUACUGACAAAGAUGAUAAUUCCUCUGUAAACAAUAAUGACCAGACAGGAGCAGCCAGAUUCUCAAAUUAUUCCAGGUUUAAAAGCUCCCAGAUAUCCCAAUCUCACAAUGUACAAAACAGAUAUGGCCAUCUCUUUAGGCCAACAUGUCUGAAAGAUAUUAAUUCACAUUGCAAUCUACUUUCUCAACCAGAUCAGGAAAAUGUAUUAUCCACCAACAUCAGGCAUGAACCUAAACUAACUACUCAAAAGAGACAAGCUGUGCCCUUCCCUUCCUUUUUAAGUUAUACAAAACGUAGCAGACUUUAUGGAUCUUAUCCUGAUCUGUCCUUUUGUAACAGGAAUGAAUUUAAUUAUAACAUCUGUUCUUCGUACCAUGAUAGGCAAGACAAUGACGAAUUAAUAAAUAGAAAUGAAGACAAAAGCAAUAUUUCUAAAAAGGAAGCAGUAAAAAAGGAUACAUACCUGGAGAACAAGAAACAUGGGAGAGAGUGUAAACCUGAAUUUCACAAGAAAGCUGCUUCUCGAAGCAUUGAGGAUGUUUUUGAUCCAUUCCCCAGUGAAGUAACACAGGAUCUAGGGAUGGAUGAUGAGACCGUGACGAACAAUGAGUAUUUUCCAGUGGAUAUAAAAAUGUUCUGGCCGAAGGAAAACCCCACAGAUAUAAUAAGACUGCUCAGUUCAACGUCCACUGGGAGUAAAAUGUCAGAGGAGAGUCUCUCCCCACAGUCACAUCGUGUACCAGCUGAAAUUUGGAAACCAAACCUGUCCUGUUAUUCAGAAACAGACUCAGACACCACGACUGAUGAUGAGUAUUUCUUGGAUUGUAAUGAAACUGCAAAAGAAUCUGCAUUAUAAUACCCUUCACCACACAUAAGACUGAAUGGAGAAGUGUUUUACUGAUUUGAAACAAAUCAUGGUGUAUGGCCACCUAAUGCUUUGAUGACCAUGGACAUCUUACUAUGUGAUUUUAUGCUGUUAGAUUUGACUGAAAUGCUAAGUAACAUUGCUAUUACCUACUCUCCAUAAGUAUUUUCAAAACUUAUAACAUAGCCACUUGUUUUGGCAUACUUCCAAAAAAAGGCAGACAAAAAUAUUGGAGAAACUCAGCGGAUGUGGCAGCAUCUAUGGAGCGAAGGAAAUAGGCGACAUUUUGGGUCGAGACCCUUCUCCAGGCAAUCACUUGUACUGUUACAAACAUUUGAAAUUCACUUACACAUAUUUGGAUGAAUUUAUAUUUAAGCCAGUAAUUGCCUGCUAUCUUAAGGACUGCUUGGGAGGUGUUCUUUCAUCAGGUUUCUGAUGCAGGAUCACAUCUGAAAAUUUUACAUAGAUUUCCCUCUUGUACAUACAGUUCUGUUAUGCAGUUCCAGUCCUUUAUGUUUUCAUUUGAGUUUUCUAAUUUUAUUGUUGGAAGCUCGUCCUUCAUACAUUAAAUUUUGUGAGCAAUUGUUGAGUUCAAAAGAUAGGCGCAAAAUGCUGGAGUAACUCAGUGGGUCAGGCAGCAUCUGUGGAGGCAAAAGGAUGUUUCAUCUGAUGUAUGUGAUUUGACCCAGAAAUAUUUGCCAGCAUAAUCUAACCUAGGUUAAGUUACUUUACAGUUAAAUUUACCCAUGAAAGCUCAGCACUAAUAGACACAUAUAAGAUUAUAAUGUAUUUACUCCCCUAUCGGUUUCUUAAUCAUUUGUUGCAUGAUUAUCUGAAACCCUCCCCAUCCCAAGGCUUAAACCCCUG